rnacentral:lncRNA from 1 species
GGGGGGGGGGGGCUAGGAUGAAAUUUGAAAAAAAUAGGCAAGACAGGAGUUUUGAGUAAAAAAAAAGGCAGGAUGAGACACUUGCAAACAAAAAAGUCAGGACGACAAUUAAGGUAAAAAAAAAGUCAGGAUAAACUAAAAAAAAAAAAGGCAGGACCGAACAGAGUGAAAAAUAAAAAGGCAGGACAGAGAUUACUGCUAAAAAAAAAUGCAGGACAAAAUUUUUCAUCCUAGCCCCCCCCCCAAAAAAAGGUAAACAUACACUAUGACGUGCCAUGAUUCAAUUAACUGAAUAUAAUUAUGAAAUUAAAACAGACAAAGAAAAUAGUCUUGAUAUGUGUCGCACAGACAUUACAAAAGAAAGCGUAAUAUAUCAAAAUAAACAAAUUAACGUAUUUACAUUGGACAUAAAUUUUGAUGCGUAAUAAUCCUACUGAAUGAGUAAAACUCUUUU